AUAUCACGAUAAAAAUCACAACGUUUGAGACAUUAGGUUUCAUGUUUGAAUAAAGAUGCGUUGUUGUAAAAGAUGUGUCUGUAAAAGAAAGAUACUUUUCUGACAACCUUGUAUAAUCGGCGCAGAGACAUUUGCGCAGCGUACAGGAUUCGCUUAUAGUCUAGAAGCGUAGACAAUGAACACGCAGUACGAACCUGCCUUUAAUAGGGAAGGUAUUGUUCAACAGUCUUUCGUAUUCGAAAUGCGGUAGUGUAGACCUGCUACGGAAUAGUUAUCUAUUUAAACGUUACAAUUUUUGUGUUUAGCAAGUGUUUGAGCAAUUGAAUCCUCCUUUGAUACACUUCGUGAUACACAAAGAAGCUUAUUCCAGUCACGCAAUUCUUCAUAAAUUCUUUUCCAUGCUGUUAUGGUAAGUUUCUGCCCUACUUCUUUUUGAUUAUCUACUAUUACUGUACUAUUUGCUAUAACGUCUGUAUUUUAAUCGCAAAAUUGUUUCAAUUAAGAAAAGUGAUACAGUAUAUUCAUUCGUUAUCUUUCCUAUUUAUUAACCAAAAAUUAUGAAUGAAAUAAAUCAAAUCUCAGUUCUCAGAUUCUGUUACAAGUCAUUACAAUUAAAUAUGGACAUGAUUUAAAUAAUAUACCGAGUCUGAUAUCUACAAAAUCGUUUAAAACUUUCAAUUUUUAUAUAUAAUUUAUAUGUAGAUAUUUUAUUAUACAUAGAAACAUAACCUCAAUAUUUAACCAAUGGUGAAACAAUAAUCGGUAGAAUAUCUCACGUGAUAUUGAUGUUAUCAGAAAGAGUUUUAACAAAAAUUGUUUAGUUCGAAAAAAGACAUCACAUACGGUGCAAAUUACUUUUUUGUAGAUCCAGUAGUAGGGUCCCAUUUCAACUUCAUUUUUGCAAAUGGAAUCAUAUAUUUUUUAAUACAUUUUAAUACAUUUACAAUACAUUCAAUACAUUCGAUCUAUCUUUGUAUUCCCUAUGAAAAAAUUAAAAAGAACUGUUAGUUCACCAGAUAUCUUAACUUGAAUUCGUCGUAUAAAAGACAGGUAAGGACGCGAAUCGAUGCUCUUAUGUUUACUUUGUCCUCGUCUUUCGUUUGUUUCAACGUAAACACAAUACCGCUUCGUGUCCUACGCUUAUCUUUUAUACGACAAAUUAAACGUAGAAUAUAAUCUAAAUUAACAGUUUUUCGACAUAAAUAGGUUAAUACUUUUUUUAUAUGAUAUGAAACGUUAAGGUAUCGGUUACAUCACUGUUGUUUACAAAGCACGAGUUUCGACUGAUUGCUAGAUAAACAAGAACAAUGAUAGCAACAAAGAUCCGAAUAUCUCAUCAAACAAGUCAUAUUAUAGGAUGUCAGUAUACUUUCCGCGGUGAACCUAUGUAUAUAUUGUUUAUAUAUAUUGUUUUCAUAUAGUUAUUGCGAAAGUAUUUUUACUAUUAUUUCAUAUAGUAUAGCGAAAUAUGUUAUAUUAUAGAACUUAUACAGGUCCUGUAUCUUUACAAAAAUCACUUUUUUAAUUUGUGAUAUAGAUGUCCACGGCUCAUAGUACUAUGUGAAACACGGGGUGCGCCUAACUCACUUUCCUUCCCCCGCGUCAUUUAAAAACUUAUUGUCAUAUAUAAAACAGCUCACAGGUUUGGUAACUUUACUCGAUCACUCUAUGUCGGAUUUCUUUCUGAUAAACACGUUCCUGAUUUUUUUCCUGCGUAUCUUCGUCGGAGUAUGAAAUUAGGCAGGAAACCAUUUUCUGAGCGUGAGAGUUCAAGAAGUGAGAGAACAGGAUUGCCAAUUUUGAAUAUGAAAAUAGAAGCAAUGUGCACGAAAGCUAAUUUUUACCAAAACUAAAUUUUAGAAUUAUAUGCUUUAGUUGAAAUACGAUCUCAAAUGUUAGGAAAUAACGUAGUAUAUUACAAGCGAAAGAAUAAAAUGCUACAGAAAGCUCUGGAAACCAAUUUCUUUGUGUUUGUUGUUACUUUUCUAGCGAUAUAUCUAUUUCAAAUUCCGAUUGCCGCUCAUAGGUUGGAACACUUAAUAACAGAAGUACGAAUCCCCCUUGAUACCAUUCAAUUUCUAUAUAAAACAUUUUUCCCUAUUUUUUAUACGUAUAGAAAUAAUAACGCGUAUACACUUAAAAUGGACAUACUGUAUACGUUAUGACUUAUGGCUCAUAACUGUUUAGUGUAAUAAUAACGGUAUCUACGUGUAGACUCUAUCUCAGAACACAUCACAUUUCAAAAAGGCUAUUAAAUUGAAGUUAAGUUUCGAAGAAUCUAAUCGUUCUGGCCAUAUGGAUCACCGAAGGUCAAAAGGUAAUAUGAAAUAAUGUUUAAUAGCAAUUCGAUGUAUCGCAUAGUUACUGAAGUCCGUGAUGCGUGUGAUUUCGAUACCCAAUCUUGCAGAGAUUCUUCGUAACGAAUCUGUUGACCAACUGAACCCGUCUAACCUUUCUUAGUACCCUUUUCACACCUCGGAAGUUGGGGAAAAAUUAGUACUGGCAAAUAGGAGGAAAUCGUGGUGUUCAUGAGAUUUUCGUUUAAAGGAUUUCUGUUUCGCGUUGGUCCUAAGUUCUCCAUAGUCUAAAUCGAGCGUACGAUCUCUAAAUAAAUAUGAAUGAAAUGUUGCGUGAACAUAACAUUUCCUUUUUUGAUGGGAUAUCAUUUGUUGGUAUGCUUUCACACUCGUAGAUCGAACGCGUGCCAAGAAAAUAUUCAAGUGAACUGUUACCCUGUAGUAUGCGCGUAUGUAUGUAUAUAUGUAGUACUUAUCGUUUGCGCGCUUCAUUCGAUUUCCUGUUUCUCUUGAGUGUGACGUUUGUCAUCAGUCACUGAUGUUUUCAUAAGUUGGAUGGAGGAGCAGUAAGCUAUUCUUCCAUUUGUACGGUAGUUUCCCCUUGGUUGAAUUGACUUUUCCGUUCUCGAUCUUGAACUGAGUCAAGUACGAAUUUCCCCAUUGACCAUUUCACCAGUCCGACUCGGCACUCGGUCACUUUUUUUUCGGAGGAGGGGAAAAUGCUCUUACGCAUACCCCGUACCAAAUGUACAUGGGUUAUGUAGGACUCGGCAGAUGUCUUGCUAUACCCACUAAAAACCUCUCCCCCUUCCACUCCUGAGAUACUCGAGGUUCGCCUCUACUAAACGUACCCGACUCCUCUCAUCUUGUUCCCGUCACAGCUCUUCCUCCUCUUCUUACUCCUCUGGAGCGUCCAUCUCACGUCUCCAGCCCCUUUUCUUUUCUGUGCCUGAUGAUCAUCGCCCGCAUGCAGAACUCUGAGAACUUCUGCCACGACCGAUCAUCUUCAGCCAUCCUCGCGACGAUGUCUACUUCCAUGCUCCACUCGAUCCCCAAAUCGAUCUCAAGUGAAGCUCUCUCCUCCAUCCAUCUGGGGCACUUGAAUAGGACAUGCUCAGCGUCGUCCGGAUCAUCCCCACAAUCCCAACAACUCGAGUUGUUCUCCUUCCCGAUCCUACACCGGUACUUGUUAAAAAUUCCGUGACCGGUAAGGAUCUGCAUAACAUAGUAAUUGAUCCUCCUUCUCCUUCCUAUGAAAAUCAAAGGAUCGUUAAUCAACCUGCUAGUCCAGUUGUCGGGAUUGUGGAACGCCCAUUCGAUCCUCCACCUGUCCUUGGCAUCCUGUUGUUGCCUCUUCUUGUCCUCCAUCCAGUAAUGCCUCUCUGCCAGUCCCUCUUCUUCAUAUCUCCUCUUCGCCUCAUACUCCUUACACCGGAGUUUCGCCUUAAUGUGCAUGGGCAUACUGCCCGUUACCAUACACAGUGUCCCGUGCGACACUGUCCUAUACGCCGUCGACAUCCUCGCCAGCGCUGCCCUCUGGGCACUGAUCACGAUCUUCUUAUUCUUUGCCAUGCUUAGGGCAGAUGCCCAAAUCGGCGCAGCAUACAAUACCACUGAUUACCACACUCAGUAAUACAAUCUUCUCACGGAAUUGGUGGGUCCAUUCACAUUUGGCAGGAGGCUCCUAAUAACACCUACGAACCUCUCCGCCUUAUCGCACACUUGCUCCAAGUGCGAUAAUUGGAUUGGCAUUGUCAAGUGUCACUCCGAGAUAUCUUGUCCAGUUUCUCUUUUUUAUGUCCGAAUUGACUUUACAUCUGAUCCUGUUUACUAAUGUUUGAUUUACCCUCUCGUUCAGUCCAUUGGAGGAUGGACAGUCUGUCGAGGUGAAAAUUAAUUUAAUGUUCUUCUUUCUCGCGUACUCUUGAACUUCUUUGGAUGACAUUACUGGGUAUCGUUCUGCAAGGAUAAUUUUUAUGGAAUCAGUUUCUCCCGUCGAGUCUAUAAGUGUUAUGAUAUCUCCUGAGCGUUGCGUUUUUGACGUGGACAUAAAAACAGCCCUUGAAAAAUGAUCAAUAAGUAUGUGUAUAUAUUUCUUUAGUGAGUUGUUAUUGGAAAAACCUCCGACCGUAUCGAAUGACAUUAUUUCAAACGGUUUCCUAGCUGGUCCUAGUUUCGACAUAAACCCGAUCGGUCUUCUCGUUCUGCUUUUAUUUUUGAUGCAAAUUUCGCAUUGUUUGCAGAAUUUGUCGACAAUUCGGUCCAUAUUUUUGAAAUAAUAGAAGGGUCGGAUUUUUUCAAUAUAUGGUUCCUUCCAACGUGACCAAAGAAAUCAUGAACCGUCUUUAUGAUAUGUUGACCAAACUCUUGUGAGACGAAUAUACGUUGACGUCCUUUAAUAUUUAAAAAAAAAUCUCUGAUUUUUGUAUAAGGUCUUUCGUAUUGUUAAUAUUUUCUCUGUUUUCUUUUUGAUCUUGGAUUAUGUCUUGUUUUUUUAUAAUAUUUGCUACGUUUAAAACAUCUUCUUCAUUGUCAAAACAUUCUAAGACGGGGUUCCUGGAUAGUGCGUCUGCCUCUAUGUUGUGUUUUCCUGGAGAGUAGGUGAUCUUGAAGUCGUACUGCGACAAGUAGUGCAUCAGGUCUCCUAAAGUUUCAUCGGUUCUUGCCUUGAUUCUCAUUGAUUCCAACGGUUUAUGAUCUGAAAGGACAGUGAAAUAUCUACCGAUUAACCAAUGAUGCCAUUACUGAAUCGCCUCAUUAAUAGCAAGACAUUCAAGGUGGAUUGCUUUCUUCUUUGCCUCUGUUGGUUUCAAUUUUCUCAAAAAGUACGCGACCGGGUGUAACGUCCCGUUGUCUCGAGGUUGCUUUAAAACUGUCCCUAAGCCGUCUCCACUUGCAUCUAUAUAAAUGAAUACUUCUUUGUUAUGGUCGUAUAUUGAAAGGAUUGGGCUUGAACAAAGGUAUUCCUUAAUUUUUUUAAAUGACUUUUCACAUUCUUCAUUCCAAAUGAAUUCUGUAUUUUUUCUCAGUAAAUUAUGUAGUGGUUCUAAGAGUUUGCACGCGUCUUCUAUGAAUUUAUAAUACAAAUUUAUUUUUCCGAGUAGUCUCACAUUUUUCUUGUUUCUUGGACGUUCAAAUUCGUGUAUCGUUAUCUUUUCCUGGUCUCACGCCGUCUUUCUCGAUAAUGUGGCCUAGAUAUUUUACUGAGUUCUCUGCGAAUUUACAUUUGGCCAGUUUUAAUCGGAAGCCUUCUUUUCUUAUGACUUUCAUCAGCUGCUCUAUGUGUUUGAUAUGUUGAUCAAACGUUUCGGAGAAGACUAGGAUGUCGUCAAUGUAGUUAAUGCAGAAUUCUGCUAAUCCGUUCCUUCUAAGAGUGUUUGCCAGCACCCGUUGGAAAAUAGCAGGAGAGAUUUUCAGUCCGAACGGUAAACAUUUCCAUUGCCAGUGUCCAUUUUGUGUUAUGAAGGCUAUCUUCUCUCGGUCCUCCUUUUUUAUUGGAAUUGACCAAAACGCUGAAUUAAUGUCAAAUGUUGAGAAGAAAUGGCAAUUUCCCGCUUUGACUAUGAUAUCUUCAAUUCUUGGGAACGGUUGCGAUUCCGGAACUACAAUUUUGUUUAUCUCACGGAAAUCAAUACACAGUCUAUCUCUACGAGUCGACUCCUUUUUAAAAGCUAGUGUCACCGGUGCUGCAAAUGGUGAACUUGAUUCCUCCAUGAGAUCGUGUUCUAGUAAUUUCGUAAUCUGGAAUUCUAAUUCUUUCUGAUUUGGAAUGCUACAUCUGUAUGGUUUCUUUGAUAUGUAUUUGUUUUCGGUUAGCUUAAUGGAAGCCUCUUGUGAUUUUCUAGUUCCCACAUCGAAUUUUUGUUUGGCAAAUACGUCUAUAUUUCUUUAUAAGUUGGCUUACCUCUUUGUUUCGUAGGUUAUUUAAAUGUCCUAGGUUGUCCAUAGGCUUGCCCGUCUCCUUGUAUUCGGUAACGUUUACCUUUCUUCUCUGAUUAUUUUUUCUUUCUUCUGUUCUAUUAAAUAUUAUUUCCUCUUUGUCAUCUACAUUUCGACUGACUCUCAAAUUCUCGUCUUGUUUUAACUUGAAUUGCGUACUAUAUAAACAUCUAUUUCUUUUUCUAUUUUAUUAAUUUUCAUUCUAAGUUUCGCCCGGUUAUUCGUGAAGUCCUUCCCACUGAUAGUUUUAAACAUACUCUUGUCUUUUAUUAUGUCUGCCUUUAUUUGGUCAAUGAUUCGUUGGUUAAUGUAGGUCCAGUGUCGUAGACGCCUUCAACCUCUUUCUGGUCAUUGAUUCUAACUCGAAGCUUUAUCAGUGAUUCGUGCUUCUCCGGGCGUUUUAGUUUUUUUCAUUCUCAUCUGGUGUUAUUGCCUCUUUGUUUUCUGACGUGAAUGAUUCUAAUGAAUUUACUUGUUUGUGGUUCCUCUGAGCAUUUCCGUUUCUGUUUCUGCAUAC